UCUACAAUGAUCUUUUCAACCAGAAAAUGAAGAGAUGGAUUUUACAGUGUGUGCCUACUGCCUAUGAAAGGGCACAUGGAAAGCAGAUGGCUGUCAUUCGGCACAGAAUGGCUCCAGAUGACAGUACCGUUCCCAAGUCAAGCACUGACGAAGCUAAACCUAAGUCAGCCGUGGACAACCGAUGGGAAAUGAUUGGAUGAUAUGUUCCACCCAAUGAAGAAAUAAACCAAGAAAGAACACAGUGGAUUCACAGAAAAGGGCUCUCCAGGAUGAUGGCCAAAGAAAGUCCUCGAAAACCAACAGGUAAGACUGGGCUGGUGGCAGACUCGGAAAGCAACCCAUGUGAAUUAAAUGGGACGGAGGGCUCCAGGAAGGAUGCACCACU